UACUCUGUGUAAGUAGGACCAAAAACAUGAAGGCAACUUUACGACUUUUCUUCUUAAACCUGCGCCUACUAACUAUGUCCAGGAGCUCAAUUAGUCUCAUUGCUGGCUAUAUCACCAUGUGUGUGGAAUCCCAUUGCCAAGACAGCCAAUGUCAGGCUGAAGAAGGCAUGAAAGAGCUGCUCAUUGUUACCCGGUCAACUCCAACGAAGUGUCAAACAGCUGACAUGGAGAAAGGACCAAGCACCACGGACACAUGGCGAUACAUUAUUAUGCAAAUAUUAACAGAGUCUGAGUACCCCUGGGAAAGGGAACCUGGAUGUACAAAAUCUUUUUGACGUCUAUUUCCAGAGCCCUGCUGAAGCCAGUCAAUGCUCAUCAGUCCAUGAGAAGAAUGAUGCAGGAUGUCCCCUCUGCAAUUGGCAUCAAGGGAAUUUGUGGAAGAUACUCUGCUUGGAUAAGACUGAAAUGCAAAACAACUGGUUUAAAAACAUUUAAACCAAUUAAACUGACUUUAAUCUCAGAAUUCUGACUUUAAAGUCA